rnacentral:misc_RNA from 1 species
GAUGAAGAACGCAGCGAAAUGCGAUAAGUAAUGUGAAUUGCAGAAUUCAGUGAAUCAUCGAAUCUUUGAACGCACAUUGCGCCCCUUGGUAUUCCGGGGGGCAUGCCUGUUCGAGCGUCAUUUCAACCCUCAAGCUCUGCUUGGUAUUGGGCACCGUCCUUUGCGGGCGCGCCUCAAAGACCUCGGCGGUGGCGUCUUGCCUCAAGCGUAGUAGAAUACACCUCGCUUCGGAGCGUAAGGCGUCGCCCGCCGGACGAACCUUCUGAACUUUUCUCAAGGUUGACCUCGGAUCAGAUAGGGAUACCCGCUGAACUUAAGCAUAUCAAUAAGCGGAGGA